UUGCAAAUCGCGGCUUAUAAUGCAGUCGACGGUAAGGUCUCUUCGGAGAUACACGAGUGGCGCACGGGUGCGUAACGCGUAUGCAACCUACCUUUAACUGGGAAAUAGCCCCGAGAAAUCGGGAUUAAUGUCCCAUAUUAUUCUGAGGAUACCUAUUCUUAGAAUGAAAGCUCCGGCGGUUAAAGGUGGGCAUGCGUGACAUUAGCUAGUUGGUGAGGUAACGGCCCACCAAGGCGACGAUGUCUAGGGGUCCUGAGAGGGUUAACCCCCACACUGGUACUGAGACACGGACCAGACUCCUACGGGAGGCAGCAGUAAGGAAUAUUGGGCAAUGGACGCAAGUCUGACCCAGCCAUGCCGCGUGAAGGAUGAAUGUCCUAUGGAUUGUAAACUUCUUUUGUGCAGGAAAAACCCCCCGGUUUCGUACCGGGGCUGAUUGUACUGUACGAAUAAGCAUCGGCUAACUCCGUGCCAGCAGCCGCGGUAAUACGGAGGAUGCAAGCGUUAUCCGGAUUCAUUGGGUUUAAAGGGUGCGCAGGCGGAAUGAUAAGUCAGUGGUGAAAUCUCCCGGCUCAACCGGGAAACUGCCGUUGAUACUGUCAUUCUUGAGUACAGUUGAAGUGGGCGGAAUGUGUCAUGUAGCGGUGAAAUGCUUAGAUAUGACACAGAACACCGAUAGCGAAGGCAGCUCACUAAGCUGUAACUGACGCUCAUGCACGAAAGCGUGGGGAUCAAACAGGAUUAGAUACCCUGGUAGUCCACGCUGUAAACGAUGAUCACUCGUUGUUGGCGAUAUACUGUCAGCGACUGAGCGAAAGCAUUAAGUGAUCCACCUGGGGAGUACGGCGGCAACGUUGAAACUCAAAGGAAUUGACGG
rnacentral:rRNA from 1 species